UUUAUCUGAUUGCCUCUGGCAUUUUCUCCAAAGCCACUUGUUUCUCAGUAGCAGAAAUAUCUUGCCCAAUUGGGAUGCAAUAAUUUCAAAGCAAGUAAAGGAAACUGCAGCUGCUCAGCUGAGUCAGCCAAAGGUGCUGGAGCCUUCUCAUGGUAUCUACAAGCUCAGGAUAGAGGUUGGAUGACACUUGUCAGUCUGUCCCACUGUGGGCCCCACUCUGUGCAAAUCCUUCUGGUUUUCCCUGUCACAUGGUGGUUCCCCAAGGGAGCAAUAGUAAUGGUGCUGUAAAGUGGAGCCUGUUUUGGGGCUGCACUGUGUGUACACCAGAGAAUGUCCAAGGAGCUUGCAGCCAGAGGCCAGUGAUGGCAGCUGGACACACAGACACAAAACAAGGACAUUUCCCUGCACAUUCUGCUGUAAACCUGGGGCCCUGGAGCCACAAGGGUCAGCUGGGAAACCCUGACCCACAGAAAAGAACACUGUUUCCCCCAUCUCAAGGGCAAUACUUCAUGGAAUUGCAACAAAGAUUUUUAUUUCUAUAUCAACUGCUUCUAUGUGCUGAUUCCAAAGGAUCUGUUCUUGAACACCAGGAUUGCCCACACUGAGUUCAUCCAUUCAGGGAUGGUGAAGAUGGUUUGUGUCUGAGGUGCCAGGGAGGUGCAGCUCUCCUGUGACCUCUCCCAGCAACAGGUCAGGAAGGGAAGUGGGAGCUCUGGGGGCCAGGUAAGUGUUUGUAGCACUGGGGUUGGAGGUGGUGCUGAGCUCUGGCUCUCUGCUGCCCUGUGUGCCCCCCAGAGCAGGUAAAAGCUCUGACUGCCCUCCCAACCCAGCUACUCAGCUUUGGGGUGUGAUUGUGUCAGGAACAGCUGUGCUCUCUUUAAAGAAAUUACCCUGGUUGCCUACCAAUGCUUGAAUGGUGACAGGAAAAAAAUUCCUAGGUACAAGUCUUUCAUUUGAUAGUGAAAUUGAUGAAAAGCUCCUGAAAAUUACACUUAAAGCCACCACAGAAGCACUUUUAUAACAGAAAAAUGUUAAGCAAUCUAAAUUCAGGGGUCACUUCCACCUCCCAAACACGUCAGACCUGUCCAGUCAAUGAGGGAUUGUAACCUGGGCAAUCAAAAAUGAAGUGUACAAUAAAAAAGGGGCUGAGAACAGACUAAGCACAAUAGCUCUGUGACAGGUUAAAUAUUCAUAAAGCAAUUCUGUGGGUAAUUGAAAUACAAGAUUGAAUGGAGGUCACUUCCACCUGUGAAUUUCUAGCUUCAAGUGAUUCUGUUCUGGGCUGUGCUGUGUCCCUGCCCUGUGCCAUGACACUGUGUGCUAUUGACACAGAUACACAUACCUGACCUAGCCUGAGAGCAGCAGGCUGUUGUGA